rnacentral:misc_RNA from 1 species
GCUCUUGAAUCCCCCCAAUGAUUCAUCUUCCUCUCCCCUCUCUUCUUCUUCUCUGUAUUCUUCUUGCUCGAUGGUUUGGUUGAAGGUUGAAACCAUGGCUUCUUCUGUACUCUGUUUCGCAGGCGCCAUUAUUCCCUCGAAUAAAACAAAACCCAGAAAUCGAAAACGAGAGAUUUAAAAUGGGGGGUGUUUUAAUCGGGGUUUGUCUUUGUUAAAACUUG